CCCACCUGACCCCAUGCCGAACUCAGAAGUGAAACGCCGUAGCGCCGAUGGUAGUGUGGGGUCUCCCCAUGCGAGAGUAGGGAACUGCUAGGCA
rnacentral:rRNA from 1 species